rnacentral:lncRNA from 1 species
UUGCUCUAGGGGAUGGUACAGUUCCAUGAGAGGUUUCUGGAAUCUCUACACUAUGUUUCACCUCAUUUACUCACCCCAGUCCCUGGACUCCGGUCAGCUAAUAAGACCAUCCAGGGUUUUCCCUAUGAGGUCUGAGCAGAGGAAGGAAGCCAGUCAUACUAUUGGCACAAGCCAGGGACACUGUACCCUCCCCAAGGCUAGUACCUUGAUUCUUUACCCCUCCUAGGUAACCUAGUUUAUUUGAAAAAUAACAUACUGCUUGUGCUGCAGUGAGUUGGGCCUCCAGACUUGGUCCAUGGCCACUCUACCGAAGAAAAAGUAUCUAGGGAUGGUUUCUCCCAUUUAUUGUGUUAAAGACUAAGCAAGGUUGAAUUUACAUAGGGAAAAAAAGAUGUACGAGAGAGUUUUGGUUUAUUUAUGACUGUUCAAAACAA